rnacentral:lncRNA from 1 species
UGCUUCAAGCGUUUUUUCAUAUUUCCUGAAUUAUUAACAUUUGAAAUUAUAGCUUCAUUGAUUUAAAGACAAAAGUAGAAAUGCACAGAGAGAAUAAAUGAAGGGUAGAGAAAAAGAGAUGAAGAGGAGAAGAAUGAUAGAUAGGCUAUAUGUAUGUGUAUGAGUGAGGAGAGAGAGAAGGGUGAAGAUAGGAAGAGAGAAUGAGCAUACAGAGAGCUUACAAACUGUUAAUACUCCUGGGAAAAAUGUGUUCAUUUCGUCAAAGCGAUAACAUUUACACCUCAUCUACGAAUUUCACGAUACUGACAAGUUUAUGUUUAUAUGACACUGACAAAUAUAUGGUUAUGAGAUUGGGUUGUCGAAGACGACUGUGAUCCUCAAGCCAAGGCCCCCUGAGGAAUCAAGUGUUUUAUGGGACGCGGCAGGACCAACAAAGAGCUGUUAAAUCCCCCUUUACGAGCGAGAGACCAGUUUGUGCAAACUACUUUAUAAGUUUAUGGCUUUCCCUGCAAGUUUAUUUGGUCAACCAGGGCAGGUUCGCUUUUCGUCUCAUUCACGAACAGAACGAAACUCAGAGCAGACGAAAUUUUUCGGGUGAUUGGGAGGGAACACGACCAAGACCAAGACACCAUGGCCGAGCCUAACGAGGGAAAGACUGAAUGGCCAGAGCUGCAAGGCAAGAAAUAUGACGAGGCGGAGAAGGUCAUCAAGGAAGAAAACCCUUCCUUAGAGAUUCAGAAAGUUCUCCCUGGACAGCCAAUGUCUCGAGACUUCCGGCCGUCGCGCGUGCGCAUUCUGGUGGACGAGGAUGACGUAGUAACGCGGACGCCUUCCAUUGGCUAACCAAAACUCUUCAUAGAUGCCUGUUGAGAAAGACCCUGGUCAGCAAGUAAACAAACCGUUGUCGAUAUAAACAACACAUUCUUUUAUGCGCAGAAGCUAUGUGGCUGAAGUUUCUUGGAUACAAAUAUCCCGUUGUACGUAGAUAUCAAUAAGUAAAGUGAAUAAUUAGCUCUGACCAUCUCUUGAUGGACCGCAAAUAUGUGAAGGAAGUAUAGACAGAGUGAUGAGAGUGUUAUAGUUACAUAAGCCCCUGUGGUCUAUUGCAAUAUUAUUGAAGCAGCAUUAACAUCGACGGUUUCUUGUUUGUGUCAGCUGAUUUUUUUUUUGCAACCUUCGCCUGAAACCAUUCCAGACCCAUGCCACAGAUACGCAGAUAGCGGCAGUCUUCACACAGAAGCAUAAGCAUGUAGGACUUUCAUUGGAUGAUUUGUUUUUAGGGACUUUGUUUUGAGGCGCCACAACUUGACCGUUGCUCUGCUUUUUACCCACUGUCCUCUAAAAUGUUUAUCUUUGUUAUUGUCGCUAUUUUUACUACUAGUGUGUAACAAAAAAUAUAACCACCGAUAUGGCAUUAAUCAAACACCACUACUUCGUUAUCGCACCAAAUUAAUAAUGUGUGUCCAAAAUGGGGUCUCGAUAUCAAUAGGGUUUCUUAACAUUUUUUGUCAAUUCAUUUAUUUGUAUUUUUAACAAUCGUAUUUGUAGGAAAUAAAUGCUUCAAUGCAA